UACGUAGGGUGCAAGCGUUGUCCGGAAUUAUUGGGCGUAAAGGGCUCGUAGGCGGUCCAUCGCGUCGGGAGUGAAAAGCUGGGGCUUAACCCCAGUCCUGCUUCCGAUACGGGUGGACUAGAGGUAGGUAGGGGAGAUCGGAAUUCCUGGUGUAGCGGUGAAAUGCGCAGAUAUUGGGAAGAACACCGGUGGCGAAGGCGGCCAUCUGGACCGCAACUGACGCUGAGGCGCGAAAGCGUGGGGAGCAAACAGG
rnacentral:rRNA from 1 species